GUGAACUACCGCUGAGCUGAAGACGCAGCGGCUUCUUCGGAAGUCACUGAAAACUUGGUUCUGUAGCUUCUUCGGAAGUCUGAGUUCACCAGACUCAGCCCCAGAAAUGGGCGCUACGUUCGAAUAGGUCAUGACACCUGCGGUUGACGCAUCAGGCCGCUGCUCUGUC
rnacentral:sRNA from 21 species